UAAAACCCUAAGAAUGUGAGGAAUAGCUGCAUAACCGUUCAGAGAGAAAGGUCAAAGAUGGGAGGCCUUUUCGGUAAGGCGCUAAGGUCGUACAGGAGGGGCAGGGGGGAAUAAAGUACUCCCUGACGGAAAGCCCCGUUAGUGCAGAUAAGUGCUGUGAGACGCUAUGUCUCUCAGAAUUAAGGUGGUACCACGGAAGCUUUCGUCCUUUAU
rnacentral:ncRNA from 1 species